GUGAUGAGUCGCUCCACCGCGGCGCCUUCGGGCGGCGAGGAAAGUCCGGGCAACGCAGAGCACCCUGCUUCCUAACGGGAAGGAUGGGCCGUAAGGCUCAGACAGCCAGUGCCACAGAAAACUACCGCCUACGUUGCCUUCGGGCAGCCGGUAAGGGUGAAAAGGUGCGGUAAGAGCGCACCAGCGGCCGGGCGACCGUGUCGGCUGGGUAAACCUCAGGGGUUGAAAGACCAAAUAAGCGGGCACGCUGCUUGGCAACAGGCAGCACCGGGCGGCUCGUCCGGCGUCCGUGGGUAGGUUGAUGGAGCCUUUCGGCAACGACUGGCCUAGAUAAAUGGUGGAGACGCCGAGCUUUCGGGCUUGGCGGACAAAACCCGGCUUACAGACUCAUCACCACC
rnacentral:RNase_P_RNA from 1 species